AGUGGCGAACGGGUCAGGAACACGUAAGAAUCUGCCCCUUGGUCGGGGACAACUCUUGGAAACGAGAGCUAAUACCCGAUACGCUGUGGAGUGAAAGAAUUUCGCCGAGGGAUGAUCUUGCGUCUGAUUAGCUAGUUGGUAUGGUAAUGGCAUACCAAGGCGACGAUCAGUAGCUGGUCUGAGAGGAUGAACAGCCACAUUGGAACUGAGACACGGUCCAAACUCCUACGGGAGGCAGCAGUGGGGAAUUUUCCGCAAUGGACGAAAGUCUGACGGAGCGACGCUGCGUGAAGGAUGACGGCCUGCGGGUUGUAAACUUCUUUUCUCGAAGAAGAAGCUCUGACGGUAUUCGAGGAAUAAGCAUCGGCUAACUCCGUGCCAGCAGCCGCGGUAAUACGGAGGAUGCAAGUGUUAUUCGGAAUGAUUGGGCGUAAAGCGUCUGUAGGCUGUAUAGAAAGUCUUUUGUUAAAUGCCUCGGCUCAACCGAGAUCCAGCAAAGGAAACUUCUAUACUUGAGGGAAGUAGAGGUACAGGGAAUUCCCGGUGGAGCGGUGAAAUGCGUAGAUAUCGGGAGGAACACCAAUAUGGCGAAGGCACUGUACUGGGCUUUACCUGACGCUCAGAGACGAAAGCUUAAGGAGUGAUUAGGAUUAGAUACCCUAGUAAUUUUAGCCGUAAACGAUGGAAACUCACUGCCGAGCGAAAUACAACGAGCGGUGGUCAAGCUAACGCGUGAAGUUUCCCGCCUGGGGAUUAC
rnacentral:rRNA from 1 species